rnacentral:tRNA from 1 species
ACCUGGGUGGCUCAGUGGUUGAGCAUCUGCCUUUGGCUCAGGAUGUAAUCCCAGAGUUUUGGGAUUGAGUCCCACCUCAGGUU